UCACUGAUGGUUCAGUGGUUAAGACACUGCGUUUCCAAGGCAGGGGACACAGGUUCGACUCCCGGUUGGGGAA
rnacentral:tRNA from 1 species